GGAAUCUUGCGCAAUGGGCGAAAGCCUGACGCAGCAACGCCGCGUGUGUGAUGAAGGCCUUCGGGUUGUAAAGCACUGUCAGGAGGGAAGAAAUGCUUUGGGCUAAUACCCUGGGGCUAUGACGGUACCUCCGAAGGAAGCACCGGCUAACCCCGUGCCAGCAGCCGCGGCAAUACGGGGGGUGCGAGCGUUGUUCGGAAUCCUUGGGCGUAAAGCGCGUGUAGGUGGGCAGGCAAGUCAGGUGUGAAAGCCCAGAGCUCAACUCUGGAACUGCGCUUGAAACUGCUUGUCUUGAGUACGGGAGAGGGAAGCGGAAUUCUUGGUGUAGGGGUGAAAUCCGUAGAUAUCAGGAGGAACACCGACGGCGAAGGCAGCUUCCUGGACCGAUACUGACGCUGAGACGCGAAAGCGUGGGGAGCAAA
rnacentral:rRNA from 1 species